UACGGAGGAUCCGAGCGUUAUCCGGAAUCAUUGGGUUUAAAGGGUCCGUAGGCGGGGCGUCAAGCCAGUGGUGAAAGUCGGCAGCUCAACUGUCGGACUGCCAUUGGAACUGGCGCCCUUGAGUUGUCGUGAAGUGGUUGGAACGUGCGGUGUAGCGGUGAAAUGCAUAGAUAUCGCACAGAACGCCGAUUGCGAAGGCAGGCCACUAACGACAUACUGACGCUGAGGGACGAAAGCGUGGGGAGCGAACGGG
rnacentral:misc_RNA from 1 species